UGAAGCUUGAUGAGCGUUUGAUGCUUGAAUUGUAUUUCCGGAUAACUUACAACAAUAAACAUAAAUGUAAUUUGUCAAACCUAUUUGAAAUAGACUACAUAAACUAUCUAAAUAUUAUAGUUUAAAAUAGCUAAUCGUAAGUUUGGGGUUCAGUUUUGGAAAGAAAGCGCGGAGUGGAGUACCUGCAUAUUAUUACAAUGUUUUUCAAUGCAGACGUUAAAUUGUUCAUAAUAAUAAUAAUAAUUAGUGAUAAGUGAAGUCAAACUGUAAAUUAGAAUUACAUAUACAAUAAACCUUUUGCAAUUAAUUGAUUAAAAGUUGUUUGAGCUUUUUCCUGUUGCCAAUAAUACGUAGGUACCUACCUACUUGUAGUCAUAGUACCGACUAACCUAUUAUACCUGAAUAAAAGCUUUCUCCAAUUUUAUAUAGUGCAGUUACAUGUACCUAACCGGUAAAAGUACAUUUAAACGUCAGGGAAUACGGCGUUUCAAUGUACAGAGUUCUCUUUCCGUAUGUUAAAAACGAUUUAACCGUAGAAUUCAACUGUAGCUGGAAAAUUCAACCACGUGAAACGAAAAGUUUUUAAAAAUCCCGUGCAAAGAAAUUG